AUUGAACGCUGGCGGCAUGCCUAACACAUGCAAGUCGAACGGGGCAGCAAUGCCUCGUGGCGGACGGGUGAGGAAUACGUAGGAAUCUGCCCUUAAGUGGGGGAUAACCAGGGGAAACCCUGACUAAUACCGCAUGAUCUCUUCGGAGCAAAGAGGGGGACCGCAAGGCGUCUCGCUUCUGGCUGAGCCUAAGUCUGAUUAGCUAGUUGGUAGGGUAAAGGCCUACCAAACCGACGAUCAGUAACUGGUCUGAGAGGAUGAUCAGUCACACCGGAACUGAGACACGGUCCGGACUCCUACGGGAGGCAGCAGUGGGGAAUAUUGGACAAUGGGCGCAAGCCUGAUCCAGCCAUGCCGCGUGCAGGAAGACGCAUCUAUGGUGUGUAAACUGCUUUUGUACGGGAAGAAACACUCCCUCGUGAGGGUGCUUGACGGUACCGUAAGAAUAAGGAUCGGCUAACUCCGUGCCAGCCGCCGCAGUAAAAC
rnacentral:rRNA from 1 species